UCUGCAUCCUGGUUGGAAAGGCCCGAGGAUGAGAAAAGUGUCCACGUCGCAGAAAGGAAGGAUUUCCGCCGGUUUUACUUAACAGUUGGCUGGAGCCGUUCCAAAGUCUUCCCAGAAAGUUUGCUGCGGUGGCGUCCACGAUGGUGUCAGAAGCGGGAUGCGAGGUAGAGCUUCUAAUGAGCCCUAGGAGCACUGAGUGAACAAACAAAGUACCUGCAGGACCCACUUUUGUCCAUUGAUCUCUCAAAGCCACUGGGGAUCCUGGUGUCUCACUCUAUUGCCCAAGCUGGAGUGCAGUGGUGUGAUCUCAGCUCCCUGCAACCUCUGCCCUCCCAAGUUCAAGCAAUUAUCCUGCCUCAGCCCCCUGGGACACAACUGGAGAAGCUGGUUAUGUUACCAAGACUUUGACUGGAAUGGUGUAUUUUCCUUUUAGGGAUCAACUUAUUGAGCCAAUAAAACUUCUUGAAAAAAUGGGCUGCAUACCUUUGUCUACACAGUCCCUGUACAGGGUUCCCAACCUGUGGGAAAGAAUGCACUUUCUGACAAGUCUGGGACCCCAAGUUUAUCUUGGAACCUCAAGAGGAAAGGAAUUCACCAAAUCAUAGGAUCAUAGCGAUGGUUUUAAUCCUAACUGCCCUGGCUGGAAGAUGUAACUGUGAUUCUAUGCAGUCAGUGCAAUGCUACAGACUAACGGAGGUACUGUCAAAUAUUCCUUCCACCACCAAUAGGCUCUACAUUAGCUACAGCAAAAUUCAGCACCAUAACAUAGGUAACUAUGUCAUGUGGCACUCAAAUUGUUGCAGUUUUACUUUGCAAGACAGAGACAGUGUGGGAGGCUAGUGUGGGGUUGUUACAUUUAUUUUAAAUAAUCAUAACUUAAAACCUAGUUUUGUUUAUUCCAUAGAUGGAAGAUGAUACUUAAAGCAUCAUCAGACUACCAUAGCGAACCCAGUAUUUCAGAAGAAUUCAUACAAACUCUACAUAUCAGUCAGGUGUCAGUGUCUUUGUGGAAACCUAUACAGUGGAAGUAAAUUUUUUUGUUUUGCCAAGUUACCUGCAGUUCUCAUUCUAUGUGCUUUUAAUUAUGAAUUUUAUUUUUAUUCCCACUUAUCCAGAGGACACUGAAAAGAGUGCUAUGGAUUUGUCUGACUUAUAUAAUGUAAAUGCACUUUUAUUUUUGAUCUCUGAUAUUUUGAAAAUUAUCAAGAGUUCUCAUCCCAGUUUCCCCCGCUAAUCAGAGAUGUGACUAUCUUAGGCUGGCUGUUAAAUAAAUCCCUGGUCUGCACCUUUAUGAAGAAAGAAGGCUGGAUUAGAUAGGUAAUCCCAGGCCACUUCUAUAUGGAAAAUUCUAUGGCUCUCUAAAUUUCCUUUACUAUUCACUGCUUCUCCCUCAAAGAUGCAAAUUCUAAACUGAUUGGCAAAAAACUAAGAUAAAGAAAUGCCUCUCUGUGAGCCAGGUGCAGAGAGGCAGCAGGUAAGUGUAACUUACCUUCAAACCAAGACACCAUCCCUUUAAUUUGGUUAAGAAGUGUUCAUAUGGGUGUCCCAUAAACACACAGAGUUUAAAAUAUGUGGCAUGGUAUUUAGAUGCUGUCCCAAUAAACACAGUUGUCUUGUCUCCAUCUGUUUGCUUUUGUCUUCUAACCCUGUAGUGCCUAACACCAGAUAGCAAGUCUGUCUCCAUUAAGUGUAAAUGUUCAAGCAAGACACCUGGUUACAGGGUAAGCUGCUUAAAUAUUUGCUCAAAGGACUUGAGAUGCCUAUUGACGGAAAGUCAACUAAUCCUGGUAAUGAUUCUACAGUGCUACUUUGUAGCCAAUAAGAUAAAAUUAUACCUCUUGUCAAAUUCAGUUAUUGGAUGAGUCAAUUUGUUGUUGGUUUAGUUUCAUUGAAGAGCAGCAUUGCCACUUCACUGACUUUAGGUAAUUAUCUCUUGGAAGGACAGUUCACAACAGAACCAUAAUAAAAAGCAGGAUUAUUUCGUUAAGGAAAAUGAAGGUGUUUUUUUGAUGAAAGUUCUGACCAAUGAUACUUGUCUUUUAGAAAUACUUAGGUUUUAAGUGACCAUAUCUCACUUGCAUUUGGUAAAUACAAUGUAUAUUCUGUUUAUUGGGUUUGAAUUUACAGAAUCCUUCAGUAUCUUCCAAAACUUCAGUAUAGUGUUGGGUUGCAUACUCAAUUCCUGCCAUACUCAUUCUCAGUGAAUAGCUGGCCUCCCAUUUUAUUGACAAAUGACAAGACUUGAUCUCCAUCAGUUCCUGCUCACUGUGUACAAAUUUGUCUCCAUCUACAUCUGCAAACUUUUCUCCAGAGAGGACAUGUCUCUCCUUGUAUUCAAGACCCUUGAUUCCAUCCUUCUCACCUCUCCCUAGACCUUGCUCUCUCACUGUCUGCACUCCCAUAUAUUCUGUUGCUCUUUCUUCACUAGCUGCUCUCUACCUUCCUUGGCCUCCAGAGUGCUGGGAUUACAGGCUUGAGUUACCACACCUGGCCUAAUUUAUCUUUGUUUUCUUUUGUCAUUCAUCAUUUGGUGUCACAUCUAAGUUAGCUUUACCUAAUCCAAGUUCAUGAAAAUCUAAUGCCAUAUUUUAUUCUAAGAGUUUUACAGUUUUAGCUUGUACAUUUAGGUCUGUGAUUCAUUUUGAGUUAUUUUCGUGUAUGGCAUAAGAAAGGAGUUUAGCUUUGUUCUUUUGUUCCCUCUGCCCUGUUCUGUUGCUAUUCACUGACUCAGACUUCACUCUCAAGACAUGAUGAACUACUUAGCUGUGUUGAAUGGAAGACUUAAUGAGCAACUGAUUACAUGUGAUACCAAAUGGACACUUUGCUAGAUUUAGAAACUGCUAAUAAUUUGGUGAAAGAGUUCCAGAUUGUUUCAAUUUAUGGCUAUUAUAAGAUGAUACAACAAAGAACAUCCUAGUGCAUGAAUCAUUUUGCAAUUUCUGUCUGACUUCCACCAAAUGUUGGCUCUAGAAGAUUUUAUUCUGCUUGCCAGUGGAACAGAGUCAGUAGAAAAUGACACCUUCAAAACUCUGGGUACUUUGAAGACCUUAGAACUCUGGAAAAAUAAGACAAGACCCUAGUGCUCUCCCAGCCAGUCUUGAAGUGUUAAUUCUAAAUGAGAACUCAAUAAAUGUCCUACAUGGUUCAGAUUUUGAAGGACUGAUGAAAUUAAAAAUCCUUGAACUUAAAAACAACCUGAUCUCUUCCUUCUCUCCCAGCAUGCUUUCCUCCCUUGUCAGUUUGCAAAGUUUGAUGUUGGAUGGCAACGAUAUGGAGGCUAUAGCUGGACCUCUGUUACUUCCCCAUCUGACACAUAUGAGCUUGGAGAAUAAUAAACUACAUCUUAUACCAGGUAGCUUCUUUACUUCUCUACAGUCUUUGCACAACUUCUCAGUUUCAGUGGUAACUUUCUGACUAAAGUUUCUAUCAAUCUACCCAAAUCCUUGCUAUCUUUAAAGAUGGAAAGAAACCAGCUCAGAAUGGUAAGCUUUCGAGACAUGAAACACUUGGAGAAUCUUUCCCAUCUUUACCUGUCAGAAAACUUACUCUCUUCCGUCAAUGGGGCACAGCAACUUACAAAUUUAACCACUCUUGAGUUGUCCCCAAACUAGCUGCAAAUGUUGCCCUUCAGACUGCCAGUAAAGCUACAAAAACUUGACUAGCAAUAAUCUGAUUCAGAAAGUUACAGCAUAAGACUUCCAGGACCUUCGAGACUUGAAACAUUUGUUUCUGGACAACAAUAUUGUGAGUUUGUUCGAAGCUGGAGCCCUGCAGAGGUGUUCUCAGCUCUCCAACCUGGCCCUGGAGCAGAACCUGCUUUUGUCCAUACCCCUAAGGCGAGUGAGUGUUGUAAUUUAUUGUAGCUACCAUGUUAGUUUUCUGAAGCUUGGGACAAUUGAGCACAUCAUCUAAGAAAGAAAAUUAGAGCAAAGGUGAAUUAUCUGAUCAAGCCUAGACAAGGAUUUAGGGAUAGAAGUUUCAAACAGAGGUGUGGAAACUCCAGCACUCAAACUAAAUAUUGCACUAACUUUAUCUUGCCUCUGGGACAAGACACCAACAGAUGAUAUGUAUAUUUGCAAACAUAAUAUAAAGAUACUGUAAAGAAUGUGUCUCAGUUUCUAAGUACUGUAUCUGGCCUGGAUAAUCAACAGUCAGUAGGCCUGAGCUUAGCCGCUAGCAAAGCAAGGACACCAGGAAAAAAUAAGGGGGGAAAAUAUAGUAAGAUAUUGAUAUUUUAAAAUGUAUUAAAGUAGA